rfam:Otolemur garnettii contig059045, whole genome shotgun sequence.
CCAAAGGCUCUUUUCAGAGCCACCUACAGUUCCAACUUAAAAGUG